GCGCGGGGACGACCCUGCGCCUUCACCUCUUUCGGACGGGACGACCCGG
rnacentral:ncRNA from 1 species